UGAUCUGAGCGGUCCAGUAAAUCAUAUUGAAAUUUGGACUCCAAAUAAUCAAAUCGAUUUUUGUAGAGAGUUUUAUAACAAAUGAACCACAGUGAGUCUGGAACUGUGGAGACAAAUUAAUCAUUAUCACAGGCCUUUCCCAAACAAAAAAACUAAUGUUGACUUAAUACAAUAAAUUCCAUAUUUCUCCCAAGUGGGAUUCAUAAAGUAAUUAUUCUAUAAAAACAAAAUAUAUUGACAAAAGUGGCCCUCCGAUGGAUUGGCAACCUGGACGGGUGUACCCCGCCUUUUGCCUGAUGUCAGCUGGGAUUGGCUCCAGCCCCCCGCGACCCUGUACGCAGGAUAAGCGGUUGAUGAUUGAUGGAUGGAUAUUGACAAAAGUGAUCUGAAUCUGGAAUCUUCCACAAACAAAUUCUCAUAGCAAUAAUUUCCAUUCCUAAAGUAAUUCUAAAGAUAAUGUAAUUAUGUCUAUUGUUAGUCACCUGUUCACCAAGGCAAAUUCCUUGUAUGUGUAAAAACUAAAUGGCAACAAAGCAGUUACUGAUUCUGAAGCCUGGGUCUUUCCGUAUGCUGAAGAAGAGGAAAAAGAUUAUAUGAGAGUGUUUUUCUCCUUUUCUGUAGGUGUGUGUUUGUGCAGCCUAUUUGCCCAGCUGUCUUUUGGCUCCAGAACAACAAACUUUCUGGGAGACGACCCCCAACAAUUAUUAACUGGUUCCGAGAUUUAGUUUGUACAAAUCAGUGCUUCUUCCAACUUUGUGUGUUCAUGUGCUCUUAAGUUGGAAUGUGGAAUCAACAUGGAUUCCCGUGGUGUAUGUAGAUAGAAAUGGCUCAUUGUAAGACGAAGCAGCAUGCCUUCCACCGGAGAUGCCAAAUGCAAAAUACACAGAAAACCAAAAUGUUUGGUAUGAGGAUGGACAUAUGAUUAGGAUAACAUGUGACAAAGGAUAUGAACCCAAAGGCCAGGAUGUCACAGGGCCAGAAAAUGGCCGACAUUUUUUGUGCAUCUGGUGUUUUAUUUUGGAAUGUUUUUUACUUGUGUGCUGUGAUUGUUAUUGCAUGACAGUGGUGUUUUAGCAUGUUGUGGUGCAGUACUAUUAAUUCCCCUUUUAUAUAGCUCCCUUUUUAACUUGUGUCAUCACAUUGAUUUUAGUUAGGCCUUUUUAAAUCAAGUCUUAUUUUUAAUUGCAUUAAUAAAUUGUUAAAUGUA